rnacentral:lncRNA from 1 species
UGACUGCAGGCUACCAGAUCCAGUAAAGAAGCAAGGACCCCAGAGGAGGUCUCUCCAGCCGCCUACUCAGCCCACCUUGCGGGUGUGCGACCUCCCCGACUGUACACGACCAGAUCUGGGCCCUUACCCAGAUCCCAGCACCGUGUUGCUUUGGUUCCCAACAUGUGAACAUCUGGG